rnacentral:rRNA from 1 species
AUGGCUUCUUCGUUCUUCGUCGCUUGUGUGGCUCUAGCCAGCAGCUGCCUUUUCCUCCUCCAUUCGCGCAGCGUCUCAGGUUGGCUCGAAAGCGGCGCGACGUGGUAUGAUCUCCACCAAGGCGCCGGCACUGGCGGUGGUGCGUGCGGGUACCAGGGCGACAUGGAGAAGCCGCCGUUCUCCUCCAUGAUCACGGCGGCCGGCCCCUCCAUCUUCAAGGACGGCAAGGGCUGCGGUGCUUGCUAUCAGGUUAAAUGCACCGGCAAUGCCGCUUGCUUCGGCCGCCCGGUGACCGUGGUCGUCACAGACGAGCGCCCCGGCGGCGAGGCGUGUCUGGCCGAGGCUGCCCAUUUCAACCUCAGCGGCAAGGCGUUCGAUGCCAUGGCCAAGCCCGGCCAAGCCGACAACCUCCGCGACGCCGGCAACAUUAGGGUCCAGUACGACCGGGUUCCGUGCAAGUGGCGCGGGCUGGACAUCGCCUUCAGAGUGAAGGCUGGCUCCAACCCGAACUACCUCGCGGUGCUCAUCGACAACGAGUCCGGCGACGGCGACCUGUCGGCGGUGGAGCUUCAGCAGCGCGGCGGCAGCUGGGCGCUGAUGCAAGAGUUGUUGGGCGCGGUGUGGAAGUACAACUCCAUGUCCGCCCUGCGGGCGCCCAUAUCGAUCCGCCUCACCUCCAGCUCCGGCAAGAAACUCGUCGCCAGCAACGUCAUCCCCUCCGGCUGGCAGGCCGACAAGACCUACCGGUCCAUCGUAAACUACUGA